rnacentral:rRNA from 1 species
GGUCAAGCGAAUAAGCGCACACGGUGGAUGCCUAGGCGGUCAGAGGCGAUGAAGGACGUGGUAGCCUGCGAAAAGUGUCGGGGAGCUGGCAACAAGCUUUGAUCCGGCAAUAUCCGAAUGGGGAAACCCACUGCUUCGGCAGUAUCUUGCAGUGAAUUCAUAGCUGCUUGAAGCGAACCCGGUGAACUGAAAUAUCUAAGUAACCGGAGGAAAAGAAAUCAACCGAGAUUCCCUGAGUAGUGACGAGCGAACGGGGAACAGCCCUUAAGCUGGAAUGGCUUUAGAAAAACAAUCUGGAAAGAUUGGCCAUAGAAGGUGAUAGCCCUGUAUUUAAAAGGGCCACUCCAGUGAAGACGAGUAGGGCGGGGCACGUGAAACCCUGUCUGAAUAUGGGGGGACCAUCCUCCAAGGCUAAAUACUCCUGGCCGACCGAUAGUGAACCAGUACCGUGAGGGAAAGGCGAAAAGAACCCCGGAGAGGGGAGUGAAAUAGAUCCUGAAACCGUGUGCGUACAAGCAGUAGGAGCUCGCAAGAGUGACUGCGUACCUUUUGUAUAAUGGGUCAGCGACUUACUGUUCGUGGCAAGCUUAACCGUAUAGGGGAGGCGAAGGGAAACCGAGUCUGAUAAGGGCGCAUAGUCGCGGGCAGUAGACCCGAAACCGGGUGAUCUAGUCAUGGCCAGGGUGAAGGUGCCGUAACAGGUACUGGAGGCCCGAACCCACGUCUGUUGCAAAAGACGGGGAUGAGCUGUGAUUAGGAGUGAAAAGCUAAUCGAACCCGGAGAUAGCUGGUUCUCCUCGAAAGCUAUUUAGGUAGCGCCUCGGACGAAUACUACUGGGGGUAGAGCACUGUUAUGGCUAGGGGGUCAUCGCGACUUACCAAACCAUUGCAAACUCCGAAUACCAGUACGUACUAUCCGGGAGACACACGGCGGGUGCUAACGUCCGUCGUGAAAAGGGAAACAACCCAGACCCACAGCUAAGGUCCCAAAUUCACUGCUAAGUGGAAAACGAUGUGGAAAGGCAUAGACAGCCAGGAGGUUGGCUUAGAAGCAGCCACCCUUUAAAGAAAGCGUAAUAGCUCACUGGUCGAGUCGGUCUGCGCGGAAGAUUUAACGGGGCUAAGCAGUGAACCGAAGCUUGGGGUGCGUAAAACUUCGGUUUUAUGCGCGGUAGAGGAGCGUUCCGUAAGCCUGCGAAGGUGGAUUGAGAAGUCUGCUGGAGGUAUCGGAAGUGCGAAUGCUGACAUGAGUAACGAUAAUGCGGGUGAAAAGCCCGCACGCCGAAAGCCCAAGGUUUCCUUGCGCAACGUUAAUCGACGCAGGGUUAGUCGGUCCCUAAGGCGAGGGCGAAAGCCGUAGUCGAUGGGAAGCAGGUUAAUAUUCCUGCACCUCGCGUGAGUGCGAUGGAGGGACGGAGAAGGUUAGGUGUACCGGGCGUUGGUUGUCCCGGGGAAAGGCGGUAGGUUUGGAUCUUUGGCAAAUCCGGGAUCCUUUAAGACCGAGCACCGAGACGAGCCUUUAUGGCGAAGUCACUGAUACCACGCUUCCAGGAAAAGCUCCUAAGCUUCAGCUCACGAAGACCGUACCGUAAACCGACACAGGUGGGUAGGAUGAGAAUUCUCAGGCGCUUGAGAGAACUCGGGUGAAGGAACUAGGCAACAUGGCACCGUAACUUCGGGAGAAGGUGCACCCUUUUUGGUGGCUCAUGCGAGCUAUAGCUGAAGAGGGUCGCAGAAACCAGGCCGCUGCGACUGUUUAUCAAAAACACAGCACUCUGCAAACACGAAAGUGGACGUAUAGGGUGUGACGCCUGCCCGGUGCUGGAAGGUUAAUUGAUGGGGUCAGCCGCAAGGCGAAGCUCUUGAUCGAAGCCCCAGUAAACGGCGGCCGUAACUAUAACGGUCCUAAGGUAGCGAAAUUCCUUGUCGGGUAAGUUCCGACCUGCACGAAUGGCGUAACGACAGCGGCGCUGUCUCCACCCGAGACUCAGUGAAAUUGAAAUCGCUGUGAAGAUGCAGCGUUCCCGUGGCAAGACGGAAAGACCCCGUGAACCUUUACUAUAGCUUUACACUGAACGUUGAGUUCGUCUGUGUAGGAUAGGUGGGAGGCUAUGAAACUGUGGCGCUAGCUGCAGUGGAGCCAACCUUGAAAUACCACCCUGUCGUGCUUGACGUUCUAACCUAGAUCCGUUAUCCGGAUCAGGGACCGUGUAUGGUGGGUAGUUUGACUGGGGCGGUCUCCUCCUAAAGAGUAACGGAGGAGCACGAAGGUACGCUCAGCGCGGUCGGACAUCGCGCACUGUGUGCAAAGGCAUAAGCGUGCUUGACUGCAAGAUCGACGGAUCAAGCAGGUACGAAAGUAGGUCUUAGUGAUCCGGUGGUUCUGUAUGGAAGGGCCAUCGCUCAACGGAUAAAAGGUACUCCGGGGAUAACAGGCUGAUACCGCCCAAGAGUUCAUAUCGACGGCGGUGUUUGGCACCUCGAUGUCGGCUCAUCACAUCCUGGGGCUGUAGUCGGUCCCAAGGGUAUGGCUGUUCGCCAUUUAAAGUGGUACGCGAGCUGGGUUCAGAACGUCGUGAGACAGUUCGGUCCCUAUCUGCCAUGGGCGUUGGAAGUUUGAGAGGGGCUGCUCCUAGUACGAGAGGACCGGAGUGGACGAACCUCUGGUGUUCCGGUUGUCACGCCAGUGGCAUUGCCGGGUAGCUAUGUUCGGAAGCGAUAACCGCUGAAAGCAUCUAAGCGGGAAGCGCGCCUCAAGAUGAGACUUCCCGGGGCACAAGCCCCCUAAAGGAACCAUAUAGACUAUGUGGUUGAUAGGUCAGGUGUGUAAGUACAGCAAUGUAUUGAGCUAACUGAUACUAAUGAUCCGUGCGGCUUGACCAU